rnacentral:rRNA from 1 species
UUUAUUGGGCGUAAAGCGGGCGCAGGCGGUUGCUUAGGUCUGAUGUGAAAGCCUUCGGCUUAACCGAAGAAGUGCAUCGGAAACCGGGCGACUUGAGUGCAGAAGAGGACAGUGGAACUCCAUGUGUAGCGGUGGAAUGCGUAGAUAUAUGGAAGAACACCAGUGGCGAAGGCGGCUGUCUGGUCUGCAACUGACGCUGGAGGCUCGAAAGCAUGGGUAGCGAACAGGAUUAGAUACCCUGGUAGUCCAUGCCGUAAACGAUGAGCGCUAGGUGUUGGAGGGUUUCCGCCCUUCAGUGCCGGAGCUAACGCAUUAAGCACUCCGCCUGGGGAGUACGACCGCAAGGUUGAAACUCAAAGGAAUUGACGGGGGCCCGCACAAGCGGUGGAGCAUGUGGUUUAAUUCGAAGCUACGCGAAGAACCUUACCAGGUCUUGACAUCUUGCGCUAACCUUAGAGAUAAGGCGUUCCCUUCGGGGACGCAAUGACAGGUGGUGCAUGGUCGUCGUCAGCUCGUGUCGUGAGAUGUUGGGUUAAGUCCCGCAACGAGCGCAACCCUUGUUACUAGUUGCCAGCAUUAAGUUGGGCACUCUAGUGAGACUGCCGGUGACAAACCGGAGGAAGGUGGGGACGACGUCAGAUCAUCAUGCCCCUUAUGACCUGGGCUACACACGUGCUACAAUGGACGGUACAACGAGUCGCAAGCUCGCGAGAGUAAGCUAAUCUCUUAAAGCCGUUCUCAGUUCGGACUGUGGGCUGCAACUCGCCUACACGAAGUCGGAAUCGCUAGUAAUCGCGGAUCAGCAUGCCGCGGUGAAUACGUUCCCGGGCCUUGCACACACCGCCCGUC